rnacentral:rRNA from 1 species
UACGUAGGGGGCUAGCGUUGUCCGGAAUCAUUGGGCGUAAAGAGCGUGUAGGCGGCCCGGUAAGUCCGCUGUGAAAGUCGGGGGCUCAACCCUCGAAUGCCGGUGGAUACUGUCGGGCUAGAGUGCGGAAGAGGCGAGUGGAAUUCCUGGUGUAGCGGUGAAAUGCGCAGAUAUCAGGAGGAACACCGAUGGCGAAGGCAGGUCUCUGGGCCGCUACUGACGCUGAGAAGCGAAAGCAUGGGGAGCGAACAGG